UGUGCUUUGGAGCUGGAGGCACACUGGCUGCCCUUUAUUGCCUCCGCACAUCGCUACCUAUGGCCCCAAGUAGCCCUCAAGGGUGAAAUCCUGGGACUAAUCAAAGGAAACUUGCCUGCGGAUUUGGAGAGGCCGGCUUGUGCGUGCGUCGUUUCUCACCAGUGUCCUGCCCAGAGGGUUCCGGGACUUCUAGGAAAAAAUCUGAGAUUUGGAAAGAUGAAAUGACUUACCCAAACUCACAAGAGAAAGGGGCCACCUGAGGGCAGUCCAUACUGCGACAUGAGGACCAGAGGAAAGUAAGAACUUGGCAGCCACUCAGCUAAUCCUAGCCAGCUGUGUCUGCCACUCAAAAUGGUAAAAAGAUGAAGACAGAAGUUAUGUCACCAUA